GGGAAGGUGGCUCAGUGGUAGAGCGCUUGCCUGGCAUGCAUGAAGCCCUAGGUUCAAUUCCUCAGUACCA
rnacentral:tRNA from 1 species